UCUGAGGCUGCACAAGUUGCUCUUGAUCAUCUUUUCAACCAAGGCCACAAUCUCGUAACAGAAAAUGAGAUUUCUGAUACCUUUACUAGGCUGGUUGAAAGGCUACCACAAGUGGUACUUGGAAGCGAGGAGACAACCGCACUUUCACAUGCUAGGAUGUUGUUGGCUCUGACCUUUUAUGCUGGUCCCUAGUUUCUGAUAAAUCAUCUUCACCGUUCUCCUGUAUUGCUGCUCGUUUCUUUGAUUGUUUGGGUUUAUGCAUAGGUCAUAGCUCACAGUUUUCUGGUUCCAUGGACAAGCUAAUUGUAUCAAAGCCACUAUCUAUCGGGUAUCUUUAUUCAGUUGCUGAGUUGAAGAGUGGCGCCUAUUCUAAAGAUACAACUAACAUAUCUCUGCAUGCCACGUCAACAUCUGCAGCCUCCAAAAUAUCUGUUAUCCAUGAUAAUGCUUUGCCAAAUGCAUUACUUGGUACAGUUGAAUAUGAGUUGCCCCAUGUGCCUCCAUGGUUUAUUCAUGCUGGUAGCCAGAAGCUUUAUGGGGUUCUUGCUGGAAUAAUUAGACUUGUUGGCCUAUCAACAGUGUCAGGAUAGCAUACUCAUACAGUAAUAUUGUUGCAUGUCGCUCUUAACAAAUUUCAUUUAGGAACCGGGCCAUGUUGAUGUUCAAAAGAGUUGUCAGAAGUUCAUGACAUCUGGUAUUUGUUAUAUCUUCUUUUGUA